rnacentral:rRNA from 1 species
AGACCCGAAACCCGGUGAUCUAGCCAUGGGCAGGUUGAAGGUUGGGUAACACUAACUGGAGGACCGAACCGACUAAUGUUGAAAAAUUAGCGGAUGACCUGUGGCUGGGGGUGAAAGGCCAAUCAAACCGGGAGAUAGCUGGUUCUCCCCGAAAGCUAUUUAGGUAGCGCCUCGUGAAUUCAUCUCCGGGGGUAGAGCACUGUUUCGGCUAGGGGGCCAUCCCGGCUUACCAACCCGAUGCAAACUGCGAAUACCGGAGAAUGUUAUCACGGGAGACACACGGCGGGUGCUAACGUCCGUCGUGAAGAGGGAAACAACCCAGACCGCCAGCUAAGGUCCCAAAGUCAUGGUUAAGUGGGAAACGAUGUGGGAAGGCCCAGACAGCCAGGAUGUUGGCUUAGAAGCAGCCAUCAUUUAAAGAAAGCGUAAUAGCUCACUGGUCGAGUCGGCCUGCGCGGAAGAUGUAACGGGGCUAAACCAUGCACCGAAGCUGCGGCAGCGAACGUAUCACUUAAAGCGAUUCAGCGGGUUACGAUUGACGGAGCGAAGCGACGUCAAAGCGUAUACAAAGUCGAGUCGGUUUAAGGAUACGUUCGUUGGGUAGGGGAGCGUUCUGUAAGCCUGUGAAGGUGUGUCGUGAGGCAUGCUGGAGGU